GUCAGAUCUCACAGGCUUCAGACCACAGAGGAGCACUAGGACCCCACCAGAGGUGGUCCUGAGGCUGAGCUGAAGGCCCUGGGGAUGGGCUAUGCAAGCUGAUUGCUCACUGCGAGUAGCAAGAGCCAAAGAAAUGAAUGCGGCCCUUGCUGCUUGCGAGAUGCCUGGAAGGUUCAGAGCCUUUAGGAAUGCAGCUAAUAUGUAAGGUUAUUAAAGCGUUUUUGGCCAUGGUGGUCCCCUGGAGAAUUUUAGGCAGUAAGAAAUCAACAAGCAUUUGCGAAAUGAGUGAAAGACAACGCUGGAGACUAUGGAGGCCAGAUGGGCAUCAGGGAGACAACCCAGGGCCUGUUGCCCUAAUCCAGGUGGGAGCAAUGAGAGCGUGGACAGAGGCAGCAGGAGGUGCUGGGGGAAGGUCACACUCCCCUCCAACUUGUGAAGGAGGGUCACAGUAUUUGGUGACUGAUGGGGGAGAUGGAUGAAGAUAAAGCAAAGAUGACUUUAUAUUUUUAGCUAGGAUUAUGGCAAAACUACUAAAAAUGAAAGGAAAACAGGAGGAAGACCAGUGUGCUUAAGUUUAGGACAACAACACAAUGUGAAGCACCCAGUGGAUGUCAAUGAGUUUUUUCUCUUAAUAAUUUGCCUGUAAGCAAGGCUGUCAUUGCUAACACUUCUGAUGAGCUCUCUUGAAUCUUUGAGGGGACCAAUAAUUGCAGUUUCAAGGUGGGAUUUGUAAAAAAAAAUCAUGUGAACAGUUUUCACCCAUAUAUUUUACGUUACAUAUGUUAUGAGACAUGUUUGAAAAGGCAUGUAUAAGCAAAUUUGUCUAAAUUCAAAUGUUACAAACACACAGCUAUAUACUUGUAUGUGUUGUGUGUGUAUACCCAACUCUAUACUGCUGGAAGUUGUGGAGACAAGCAGCACUAUCUGACCCUGGCCCUGAGGCCUCUAAGUUGCCUGACAAUGAGCCAGCUCUCAGACUUAAUGUCCCAUGGGAUGGAGGGCUCCCAAGGUCUCCAAGUUCUGGAUGCAGUGACAUCUGAGAGACUUUUCCUACACAGUAGACACGUAAGGUUGAAACUGCUUGGUGUGUUAUCUAACGUGUUUAUUCCCCCACGCAAGACUACCUUUAUACAUACCUCAUUAAAUGGAAGAAUAUCAAGGGGUGGAGUUUCCCUGCUGGCAUCCCCAUGGCACAUUUAUCCAUUUGGCCCGAGCACACCUUUCAACGGGAGUCUGGGAGGGCAGGGACCUAGCUGGGCUGAUCCUGCUCUCAUGAGUUCCAGCUGCACCAAAUGAUGCUGGUUGGUGUCUACCCUGAGCCCUUUACACAAAUACCAGUGCAGUCUUGUUUUAGAUCCUGGGGAAAUAACAACUGAUUUCUGUGGAUGAGAAGUUCAUAUCAGUUAGCAGAGGAAAAUUUGUUGUUUCAUCUCAUAACGCAUGUGUUUUAAUUAUUUCUGCCAUCAGAUUUAACAAAGCUCUAAAAUGAAAUUUAAAGUAGCAUG